CAGUCGCCGCGGUAAUACGGAGGAUCCAAGCGUUAUCCGGAAUCAUUGGGUUUAAAGGGUCCGUAGGCGGUCUUGUAAGUCAGUGGUGAAAGCCCAUCGCUCAACGGUGGAACGGCCAUUGAUACUGCAGGACUUGAAUUAUUGGGAAGUAACUAGAAUAUGUAGUGUAGCGGUGAAAUGCUUAGAGAUUACAUGGAAUACCAAUUGCGAAGGCAGGUUACUACCAAUUGAUUGACGCUGAUGGACGAAAGCGUGGGUAGCGAACAGGAUUAGAGACCCCGGUAGUCCCUGUCUCUUAUAA
rnacentral:rRNA from 1 species